UACGAAGGGGGCUAGCGUUGCUCGGAAUUACUGGGCGUAAAGGGCGCGUAGGCGGCACUGUUAGUCAGGCGUGAAAUUCCUGGGCUCAACCUGGGGACUGCGCUUGAUACGGCAGAGCUAGAGGAUGGAAGAGGCUCGCGGAAUUCCCAGUGUAGAGGUGAAAUUCGUAGAUAUUGGGAAGAACACCGGUGGCGAAGGCGGCGAGCUGGUCCAUUACUGACGCUGAGGCGCGACAGCGUGGGGAGCAAACAGGG
rnacentral:rRNA from 1 species